UCAGAUGUAAGCUGAAUUGAGAAGACAGAAACAAGACAAGUACAGGAAAGGAGGCCUCCAGGAGGCCCUUGGGUAGAUGAUGUGCUGAGAGAAGGAGGAGAAGCACUCUGAAAGAUGAGUAACCAGUGAGGAAAGAGACAUUCUACUUCUAGGAUGAGCAGGUUCUUACAGGAACUGUCUUCUCUCAACUGUAGGUGGUACUAUCAUUGGGUAGAACUUCAGCUACCAGGGAAAGGAUGCUCAAGAGGCCGAAGGAGAAAACAGGAAAUGAAAUCUCCAGCUCUGAAAACUGACAGCUACUUCUGUAAAGAAGCAAAAUAUGUCCAACAAAAUGAAAAUGGCAGUCCUGUGAAUGAGCCAACUCCACACUGUAGCAAAAUACAUUAAGGAAACAAGUGACCAGCAUGGUGAACAAAAACAAACCCCCAACUACCCACUGCUUGGGUUCUCUAAACACUGCCACUAUGAACAACUGAAAAGCAAGCCAGCAGCAGGGUUUGAGGGACAUCUGUCUGGGCUCCCAGGAGCUGCUCUUCAGAACUGGGUACUAUUUAGUUCUCUACUGUACUCAUUAACAAAAGAAGGAAAAAAAAAAAUCACAUGUUGAGUUUUAGCAAGUAAGUGAUCAACUUCACUUCUGUUCUGGAACAUUUUCUUGUUCUUGAAGAAUUGGGGGUAGGGGGUGGGGAGGAUGGCCCAAAAUAAGAAUGUAAUUCUUUUAUAUCAAUGUUUCA